GUCCUGGGAUUUGGGGGAAAUUCCCAGGAUUUGGGGCAGGAUCUGGGAACAAUUCCAGGAAUUCAGGGCAGGAUCCGGGGCCGUUUCCCGGGAAUUCAGGGCAGGAUCCGGGGCCGUUUCCCGGGAAUUCAGGGCAGGAUCCAGGGCCGUUUCCCGGGAAUUCAGAGCGUUCCGCGCUCGACGCGGGCGCGGCCGAGCUUCAUCCCGCGGAUGAUGAGGACGGUGCCGGCGGCGAUGCCGACGAUGCCGACGGCCAAGCCCAGGGCGCAGAUCGCCGUCUCCGUGGCCUCGGACGCCGGCGCCGGGAUCUGGGGCUCUGGGAAAAGCGGGAAUUCCCGGGAGAUCCCAAAACCUUCCUCAUCCUCGUCUUCGUCCCGAAAACCCCUGAGUUCUUCCUCAUCCCGAAUUCUUCCUCUUCUUCCUCAUCCCAAAUCCUUCCUCAUCCCGAAUUCUUUCUCUUCCCAAAUUCUCAUCCCGAAUUCUUCCUCUUCUUCCUCAUCCCAAAUUCUUCCUCUUCCCAAAUUCUUCCUCUUCCUCUUCUUCCUCAUCCCAAAUCCUUCCUUAUCCCGAAUUAUUUCUCAUCCCAAAUUCUUCCUCAUCCCGAAUUCUUCCUCUUCCUCCUCAUCCCAAAUCCUUCUUCAUCCCAAAUUCUUCCUCUUCCUCUUCUUCUUCUUCCUCAUCCCAAAUUCUUCCUCUUCCUCUUCUUCCUCAUCCCAAAUCCUUCUUCAUCCUGAAUUAUUUCCCAUCCCAAAUUCUCAUCCCAAAUUCUUCCUCUUCCUCUUCAUCCCAAAUCCUUCUUCAUCCCAAGUUCUUCCUCUUCCUCUUCUUC
rnacentral:lncRNA from 1 species